UACGUAGGGUGCGAGCGUUAAUCGGAAUUACUGGGCGUAAAGGGUGCGCAGGCGGUUAUAUAAGACAGAUGUGAAAUCCCCGGGCUCAACCUGGGAACUGCGUUUGUGACUGUAUGACUAGAGUACGGUAGCGAGGGGUGGAAUUCCUGGUGUAGCAGUGAAAUGCGUAGAUAUCAGGAGGAACAUCGAUGGCGAAGGCAGCCCCUUGGACCUGUACUGACGCUCAUGCACGAAAGCGUGGGGAGCAAACAGG
rnacentral:rRNA from 1 species